GGCACUAGUUUAGAUUAGCCAUGUCCCGUGCAAUUUGACAGUAGCGACAUGAACCUGCAGCGCAUGGAUCUGAAGCAAAGAUAGGAGGAAGGAGGAGGAAUUCAGGGAAUGUUUUCCCUCCGAGCACUGUGGAGGCACUGACGGUGGGACCGGGGCUGCAGUGACAGCAUUAACACUUCCCAGAGCCGAGGACCCCAACACUGGAAUGGCAUUGCCCACCCUGAAAGUGAGAAGACUAUGCAGGAAAGACUGAUAAGAUUCCACUAAUAUUUAGUGCAGGAACACUCUGACGGGCACUGCCGAAGAUGCUGAGGCACUGAGCAAUACGGACUCUGCAUUGUCCGUGGUUUCUGCGUGGAUUUGGCACAGCAGCAGUCACAACGGUAAAGUUUGGCUGCUUUACAUCGCAAUUGAGAAAGGUGCACCAGAAGCACAAGACUGACACCCAGUUCCCCGAGCAAAUAACUGCAAAUAAUUUAAUCUAAAAUAAGUACUUUGGGAAUUUAAUUCAAUCAAUUAUAUGGUUUUUUGUCUACAAACUAAAAAUCUGCAUCUCGCCAGCAAGUUAAAGAAAAAAAAUCCUUCUUCUUGGCACAUCCCCUGUAACAAAUGUGGAAGCUUGCUGAUGACCACAAAUAUAUUGUAAAAAUGUGUAAACCAAAGGCUGUGAUAUUUUCCAAAAGAACACCUGGAAGGUGUAAAUCAAAAAUAUUGUAAACACGUCAGCUGGGAACAUACGACAGGCACACUGGGUUGCUGUGCACCCGGCCCAUCGGGCUUUGGAAAUCCGAAUCGAUAAAUCAGGGGAUGAACCUUAGACUAAUAAACAGUUCUUUUAUGAAAAGGAGAUAUUCUCUGCCCCUGCAGCCUAACGGUGAACCAACAAAAGAUGAAUUUGUUGCAUUUAGGAAAAUACAGGAGGGCGUUUCCAGUAAUGUGAUUUUUUUAAAUAAAAUGCUGCUCAGCAAAACUCUCAAAAUGAAGCUCAUCUUGUGUUGUGCUCUGUUGAAAUGAGAAACAAAACUAUGAAUGCUCUCAAUAAUUCAGCUCUUUUCUUAGAAAUAGUUUUCAGGCAUUUAUUUCCCCCCUUAAGGUUUUUGUCAAUAAGAUGCAAAGGUUGUAUUUUACACCUACGUUGUAUUUUACACCGACAUUACGUUUUACACCUACAUUAUAUUUAACAUCCACAUUAUAUUUUACAUUUGCAUGACCAGAGGUUUGCAGUGAAGCGAGGGGAGAAAUUUGGUGAGCAGAUUGCUGAGCAAAGGAAUUGCAAAAGACGGCAGAACGAGGCUCCUCGCUUUGCUGCACUGACAAAAACUAAAACUGGGUUUUUCCCUUAUGGUUAUCUCGGUCGACUGAAAGAAGCCCUAUUAAAAUGCUAUCUUCUGGAAAGCGUCAUAGAGGCAUGAGGUUGGUAAACAUUAUAAA